CCCUGCCGCCUCCGCGACCCCAGCCCUGCAAGGGGCUGGCCGUGAGGCGACCUUGGGAGCACUGCUUCGCACCUUCGCUCGCCGGCGGCGGCGCAAUCCAGCUCAAAGCUUUUCUGCGAUGUUUCAGGAAAGCCAUUUGUGCCCUUCUCCCUGCCAGGACCUGGACAAUUAUUUCCACAACUUUCCCCAGAGCCUGUUUAGGCCCACAGGCAUAGUAAUAAGUCUCCCAUAUUCUGCAAUGUGAAGCAAAGACCAUUUUGAAAAGAAGAAGGAGGAGGAAGAGGAGAAGAAGAAAUCCAUGCAGUUUCUUUCAUAAUACACAUUUCCAAGAACUUGAGGAAGAUUCCUCCUACAUGCAAUUGCUAAUUUUUUGAACCAAAAAUUAACUUGCCUUUUAACUUUGUCUUUUUUCCAGGAACUCUUUGAAGUGCCUUCGUGUGGAUCUGUGUAUGUACUCAGGUGCCUGUGCCUGAGUAUAUGUGCAUA